CCUACGGGGGGCAGCAGUGGGGAAUAUUGCGCAAUGGGCGAAAGCCUGACGCAGCGACGCCGCGUGAGGGAUGAAGGUCUUCGGAUCGUAAACCUCUGUCAGCAGGGAAGAACGGUCACUGUGCCAAUCAGCAGUGAAUUGACGGUACCUGCAAAGGAAGCACCGGCUAACUCCGUGCCAGCAGCCGCGGUAAUACGGAGGGUGCGAGCGUUAAUCGGAAUUACUGGGCGUAAAGCGCUCGUAGGCGGUAUGUCAAGUCAAGGGUGAAAUCCCCGCGCUCAACGUGGGAACUGCCUUUGAAACGGGCAAACUGGAGUGUGUGAGAGGAUAGUGGAAUUCCAGGUGUAGGAGUGAAAUCCGUAGAUAUCUGGAGGAACAUCAGUGGCGAAGGCGACUAUCUGGAACAUAACUGACGCUGAGGAGCGAAAGCGUGGGUAGCAAACAGGAUUAGAUACCCUAGUAGUC
rnacentral:rRNA from 1 species